AGAAAGAAACAUGUAAGACUCAGUGAUUCUAGCACACGGCUAUAAGGUCCGGGCUUCUUCAGAGCUCUGAGAACAGCCAAACAGCAGAACAGGUUUAUGGCGAGGAAGAUUAUGAAGUGUAUCAGGUACAGGCAUUUAAAAACACGUACAUUACACGGAUGAACAAGUUCCAGUGAAAACACAUUACAUAUAAUGAUCAUUAUCCAGGUAACAAUAGAG
ensembl:lncRNA